GAUGAACGCUGGCGGCGUGCCUACCACAUGCAAGUGGAGCGAUCUUCUCGGGAGGAGGCCGGCGGACGGGUGAGUAAGGGGCGGGUAACCUGCCCUGUACACACGGAUAACAUACCGAAGGGUAUGCUAAUACGGGAUAAAUUAUGAGAGCUGGAUAGUUUUUAUAUCAAAGAUUAAUCGGUACAGGAUGGACCGGCGUUGGAUUAGCUAGUUGUUAAGGUAAUGGCUUACCAAGGCGACGAUCAGGAGCCGACCUGAGAGGGUGAUCGGCCACACUGGAACUGAGACACGGUCCAGACUCCUACGGGAGGCAGCAGGGGGGAAUAUUGGACAAUGGGCGAAAGCCUGAUGCAGCAACGCCGCGUGAGCGAUGAAGGCCUUCGGGUCGUAAAGCUCUGUCCUCAAGGAAGAUAAUGACGGUACUUGAGGAGGAAGCCCCGGCUAACUACGUGCCAGCAGCCGCCGUAACAC
rnacentral:rRNA from 1 species